GUCAAGUUGCCAGAGUGGUUAAUGGGUAUGACUCGAACGUCCCCGGACUUCUAGAUAUCAUAUGGCUUCGGCCGCAUAGGUUCAAAUCCUGUACUGUAUG
rnacentral:tRNA from 1 species